ACACCAAGCAGGUGUCUCCUGGGCUGCUGCCAAUUGAAAACCUGACUGGGCCAGGGGUGAGCUCUGAUCUAAGGGCUGGCAACUGCAGGAAGCCCCCACCCUAAUUCACCUGCGGAGACUGACUCAAGUCCGGAGCUCCGCCCACCUCUUGUCUGUCCAGAAUAUUUUCAACCUCGGUCGUUUGAUUCCACUCUCACUCCAGGAAUGAGAGGCAGUAGUGUAUAAGAGCUCAGAGCCGAGAGUCUGGAGCUAGGUGACCUAGUAGUGCAGUGCCCGAGGAGUCCAGAAGAAGACAUUGGAUCGUUUGACCCUGAAGUUACAGAUGCUAGGAAGCUGGGAAUCAAAGCCUGCCCCUCUGAAAGAUUAUUGAGUCUCAGCUGUGGAGCAAUAUCUUCAGCCUCUCUGGAGUGAGAAAGGUCAACCAUGGAAAGUAACCCUUUACCAGGAGAAGUUUAUAGGUGAAGAAUCCAGCAGCACCUUCAUGAAAGAAUUGCUGGCAGCAAUGCAGACUCCUGAGCCCUAGGAAUUCGAAUUCAGUAAGUCCAGGCUGCUACAGCACGGAGCAGAAGAUCCUCUUCAAGGGCUUCAGGCCCAGCUGUGCCUGGGCACUAUCUUGAAACAUCCUCAGCACAUCCUGUUCAAAAUCACGCAGCGGUAUUGCAAAGGCAUCAUCAGGACUAUGGGGCAAGCAGCAAUCCAGUGUGCUAGGAUGCAGAAAACCUAGAGUUCAGUGCCUCUUCUACCACCGAUGGGCUAUGUGCCCUCGCAGGCCACCUGCUCUCUCCUCGGCCUCUACUGCUGCCUUACGAGGAAGGAAGAUGCAGCUCAGGAGAAAGGGACCUGGCCCAGGUCACAUCAAAAAGUAGAGCCUCCUGCUGCUUUUGGUGUCAAAAAGGAAGAAACUGACAGGUCCUCCAGAGACUUCAAGUUUAUGCUGGUGUUAAAUUGGGAGAGAAAUACCUCGGUGGGCCCUUGCCCCAGGGCACUAAGCGUCUCAGUGGACAAUAUCCUGGACAGUGGCUUGACAAUCCAACAGACACCGUUUACACGUGGCUGUUUGCCUCUCGUCAGAUAAUGUUUAUUUCUCUUCCUGAUUAUGAAAGGCACACAGGCAUGCCUGUUUCUUGAAAGGGCCUUUGAUAAGAGCCGAGGGCAGCACAUGAAAGAGCUGUUCUACAAGAGCCAUUCUGCCAGCGCCUACAUGCAUGUGGCCAGGGCGUUUUUUGUUUUGUUUUGUUUUUGUUUUUGUUUUUUUAAAUUUUUGUUUUGUUUUGUGUUUUGUUUGUUUGUUUGUUUUUAGGAGAUGAGGGGAACAACCCAAGGAGUGGGCUCCUGACAUGGCCCAUGGCUGCUCCCCCCUUCCCCAACAAGCAAGGCAGCUCACAGAGGUGCCCUUGUUCCCUUACUCAGUGACCCAGGCUCUGCCUGCCACUCAGGGCGUGGCCCUCUCCUCAGCCCUAGGCAUUCUCCCUUUGAGAGACUUUACCCCACAGCAUGUCAGAUAUGUGAAAAUGCACCCACAUCCCAUAUUAAAUGUAAUUUUUGCUAUAAAA